AGUCGAGCGGUAGGCCCUUCGGGGUACACGAGCGGCGAACGGGUGAGUAACACGUGGGUGAUCUACCUUGCACUUCGGGAUAAGCCUGGGAAACUGGGUCUAAUACCGGAUAUGACCUCUGAAUGCAUGUUCUGUGGUGGAAAGAUUUAUCGGUGCGAGAUGGGCCCGCGGCCUAUCAGCUUGUUGGUGAGGUAACGGCUCACCAAGGCGACGACGGGUAGCCGACCUGAGAGGGUGACCGGCCACACUGGGACUGAGACACGGCCCAGACUCCUACGGGAGGCAGCAGUGGGGAAUAUUGCACAAUGGGCGCAAGCCUGAUGCAGCGACGCCGCGUGCGGGAUGACGGCCUUCGGGUUGUAAACCGCUUUUGACAGGGACGAAGCGCAAGUGACUGUACCUGUAGAAUAAGGACCGGCCAACUACGUGCCAGCAGCCGCGGUAAUACGUAGGGUCCGAGCGUUGUCCGGAAUUACUGGGCGUAAAGAGCUUGUAGGCGGUUCGUCGCGUCGUUUGUGAAAACUUGGGGCUCAACCUUAAGCUUGCAGGCGAUACGGGCGGACUAGAGUACUUCAGGGGAGACUGGAAUUCCUGGUGUAGCGGUGAAAUGCGCAGAUAUCAGGAGGAACACCGGUGGCGAAGGCGGGUCUCUGGGAAGUAACUGACGCUGAGAAGCGAAAGCAUGGGUAGCAAACAGGAUUAGAUACCCUGGUAGUCCAUGCCGUAAACGGUGGGUACUAGGUGUGGGGCUCCUUCCACGGACUCUGUGCCGUACCUAACGCAUUAAGUACCCCGCCUGGGGAGUACGGCCGCAAGGCUAAAACUCAAAGAAAUUGACGGGGGCCCGCACAAGCGGCGGAGCAUGUGCAUUAAUUCGAUGCAACGCGAAGAACCUUACCUGGGUUUGACAUACACCGGAAACCUGCAUAGAUGUAGCCCCUUGUGGUCGUGUACAGUGGUGCAUGGCUGUCGUCAGCUCGUGUCGUGAGAUGUUGGGUUAAGUCCGCAACGAGCGCAACCCUUAUCUUAUGUGCAGCGCGUAAUGCGGGGACUCGUGAGAGACUGCCGGGGUCAACUCGGAGGAAGGUGGGGACGACGUCAAGUCAUCAUGCCCCUUAUGUCCAGGGCUUCACACAUGUUACAAUGGCCGGUACAGAGGGCUGCGAUACCGCGAGGUGGAGCGAAUCCCUUAAAGCCGGUCUCAGUUCGGAUCGGGGUCUGCAACUCGACCCCGUGAAGUUGGAGUCGCUAGUAAUCGCAGAUCAGCACCGUUGCGGUGAAUACGUUCCCGGGCCUUGUACACACCGCCCGUCACGUCAUGAAAGUCGGUAACACCCGAAGCCGGUGGCCUAACCC
rnacentral:rRNA from 1 species